rnacentral:rRNA from 1 species
GACGAACGCUGGCGGCGUGCCUAAUACAUGCAAGUCGAGCGAAUCAAUAGGAGCUUGCUCCUGUUGGUUAGCGGCGGACGGGUGAGUAACACGUGGGCAACCUGCCUGUAAGACUGGGAUAACACCGGGAAACCGGUGCUAAUACCGGAUAAUCCUUUUCCUCUCAUGAGGAAAAGCUGAAAGUCGGUUUCGGCUGACACUUACAGAUGGGCCCGCGGCGCAUUAGCUAGUUGGUGAGGUAAAGGCUCACCAAGGCGACGAUGCGUAGCCGACCUGAGAGGGUGAUCGGCCACACUGGGACUGAGACACGGCCCAGACUCCUACGGGAGGCAGCAGUAGGGAAUCUUCCACAAUGGACGAAAGUCUGAUGGAGCAACGCCGCGUGAGCGAUGAAGGCCUUCGGGUCGUAAAGCUCUGUUGUUAGGGAAGAACAAGUACCGGAGUAACUGCCGGUACCUUGACGGUACCUAACCAGAAAGCCACGGCUAACUACGUGCCAGUAGCCGCAGUAACAC